UCUGGCGGAUCUGCUUGGCGAAACAACAGGGAGUAUUCCGGCGCAGGCAACUAUUCUGGACAUUCGGCUAGGGGGCCAUCCCGGCUUACCAACCCGAUGCAAACUGCGAAUACCGGAGAAUGUUAUCACGGGAGACACACGGCGGGUGCUAACGUCCGUCGUGAAGAGGGAAACAACCCAGACCGCCAG
rnacentral:rRNA from 1 species